UACGUAGGUGGCAAGCGUUGUCCGGAAUUAUUGGGCGUAAAGCGCGCGCAGGUGGUUCCUUAAGUCUGAUGUGAAAGCCCACGGCUCAACCGUGGAGGGUCAUUGGAAACUGGGGAACUUGAGUGCAGGAGAGAAGAGUGGAAUUCCACGUGUAGCGGUGAAAUGCGUAGAGAUGUGGAGGAACACCAGUGGCGAAGGCGACUCUGUGGCCUGUAACUGACACUGAGGCGCGAAAGCGUGGGGAGCAAACAGG
rnacentral:rRNA from 1 species